UACGAAGGGGGCUAGCGUUGUUCGGAAUUACUGGGCGUAAAGACGCACGUAGGCGGAUACUUAAGUCAGGGGUGAAAUCCCGGGGCUCAACCCCGGAACUGCCUUUGAUACUGGGUAUCUCGAGUCCGGAAGAGGUGAGUGGAAUUCCGAGUGUAGAGGUGAAAUUCGUAGAUAUUCGGAGGAACACCAGUGGCGAAGGCGGCUCACUGGUCCGGUACUGACGCUGAGACGCGAAAGCGUGGGGAGCGAACAGGA
rnacentral:rRNA from 1 species